GAAAAUUGAAGUAGCAAACCGUGAGAGAGAAGGGAGAAAGAAGAAGAAGAAGAGAAAAGAGGGAAAUUAGAAGGGAAAUAGAAAGGAGUUGAAGAAAUAAGUAAAAAAAAGGCUUAUAGCUUGAUAGCAGGUUAUUUUGUUGGGCCUUCAGAACCUGCUCUUUGGUUGUACUUUGUAUGUUUCCUUUAUAUUUAGUUAGUGCUCCAAAACUCUGAACUUAUAUAAACUCUUGUAUUAAGACAAUUCAAUUAUAUUAUAAAGUUGAUUUUGUUAUUAA